UAUAUCGGAACGUACCCAAGAGUGGGGGAUAACGUAGCGAAAGUUACGCUAAUACCGCAUACGAUCUAUGGAUGAAAGCAGGGGACCUUCGGGCCUUGUGCUCCUGGAGCGGCCGAUAUCUGAUUAGCUAGUUGGUGAGGUAAAGGCUCACCAAGGCGACGAUCAGUAGCUGGUCUGAGAGGACGACCAGCCACACUGGAACUGAGACACGGUCCAGACUCCUACGGGAGGCAGCAGUGGGGAAUUUUGGACAAUGGGCGCAAGCCUGAUCCAGCAAUGCCGCGUGAGUGAAGAAGGCCUUCGGGUUGUAAAGCUCUUUUGUCAGGGAAGAAACGGCUGUGGCUAAUAUCCACGGCUAAUGACGGUACCUGAAGAAUAAGCACCGGCUAACUACGUGCCAGCAGCCGCGGUAAUACGUAGGGUGCAAGCGUUAAUCGGAAUUACUGGGCGUAAAGCGUGCGCAGGCGGUUUUGUAAGUCUGUCGUGAAAUCCCCGGGCUCAACCUGGGAAUUGCGAUGGAGACUGCAAGGCUAGAAUCUGGCAGAGGGGGGUAGAAUUCCACGUGUAGCAGUGAAAUGCGUAGAGAUGUGGAGGAACACCGAUGGCGAAGGCAGCCCCCUGGGUCAAGAUUGACGCUCAUGCACGAAAGCGUGGGGAGCAAACAGGACUAGAUACCCUGGUAGUCCACGCCCUAAACGAUGUCUACUAGUUGUCGGGUUUUAAUUAACUUGGUAACGCAGCUAACGCGUGAAGUAGACCGCCUGGNNGGAGNUACGGUCGCAAGAUUAAAACUCAAAGGAAUUGACGGGGACCCGCACAAGCGGUGGAUGAUGUGGAUUAAUUCGAUGCAACGCGAAAAACCUUACCUACCCUUGACAUGUCAGGAAGACCGGAGAGAUCUGGUUGUGCCCGAAAGGGAACCUGAACACAGGUGCUGCAUGGCUGUCGUCAGCUCGUGUCGUGAGAUGUUGGGUUAAGUCCCGCAACGAGCGCAACCCUUGUCAUUAGUUGCUACGCAAGAGCACUCUAAUGAGACUGCCGGUGACAAACCGGAGGAAGGUGGGGAUGACGUCAAGUCCUCAUGGCCCUUAUGGGUAGGGCUUCACACGUCAUACAAUGGUACAUACAGAGGGCCGCCAACCCGCGAGGGGGAGCUAAUCCCAGAAAGUGUAUCGUAGUCCGGAUCGUAGUCUGCAACUCGACUACGUGAAGUUGGAAUCGCUAGUAAUCGCGGAUCAGCAUGCCGCGGUGAAUACGUUCCCGGGUCUUGUACACACCGCCCGUCACACCAUGGGAGCGGG
rnacentral:rRNA from 1 species